GGAAUAUUGGACAAUGGGCGAAAGCCUGAUCCAGCAAUGCCGCGUGUGUGAAGAAGGCCUUAGGGUUGUAAAGCACUUCCAGCAGGGAAGAAAAGCUCGGGGCUAAUAUCCCCGGGCCUUGACGGUACCUGCGGAAUCAGCACCGGAUCACUCCGUGCCACCAGCCGCGGUAAUACGGAGGGUGCAAGCGUUAAUCGGAAUUACUGGGCGUAAAGCGCGCGUAGGUGGUUUGGUAAGUCGGAUGUGAAAGCCCCGGGCUCAACCUGGGAAUUGCAUUCGAAACUGCCAGACUAGAGUAUGGUAGAGGGAAGUGGAAUUCCGCAUGUAGCGGUGAAAUGCAUAGAGAUGCGGAGGAACACCAGUGGCGAAGGCGACUCCCUGGACCAAUACUGACACUGAGGUGCGAAAGCGUGGGGAGCAAAC
rnacentral:rRNA from 1 species